UCGAUAGGUGAAGAAUUCUGGAAUGAGUCUUUGCCAAAAAGACGUUUACGUUAUGCUCGUAGGCGUCGCCCAAGGAUGAGGCCGCGACCGAUCAGGUUGUUGGUGAGGUAAUGGCUCACCAAGCCUUUUACCGGUGCGGGCCGUGAGAGCGGGAGCCCGGAGAUGGGCACUGAGACAAGGGCCCAGGCCCUACGGGGCGCAGCAGUCGCGAAAACUUUGCAAUACACGAAAGUGUGACAGGGCUAUCCCGAGUGCCAUCCGCUGAGGAAGGCUUUUACCCAGUCUAGAACGCUGGGGGAAUAAGGAGAGGGCAAGUCUGGUGUCAGCCGCCGCGGUAAUACCAGCUCUCCGAGUGGUGUGGAUGUUUAUUGGGCCUAAAGCAUCCGUAGCUGGCUGAGUUAGUCCCUUGUUAAAUCCACCGAAUUAAUCGUUGGAUUGCGGGGAAUACUGCUCGGCUAGGGGACGAGAGAGGCAGACGGUAUUUCCGGGGUAGGGGUGAAAUCCUAUAAUCCCGGGAAGACCACCAGUGGCGAAGGCUGUCUGCUAGAACGCGCCCGACGGUGAGGGAUGAAAGCUGGGGGAGCGAACCGGAUUAGAUACCCGGGUAGUCCCAGCUGUAAACGAUGCAGGCUAGGUGUUUGGACGGCCACGUGCCGUUCUAGUGCCGCAGGGAAGCUGUUAAGCCUGCCGCCUGGGGAGUACGAUCGCAAGAUUGAAACUUAAAGGAAUUGGCGGGGGAGCACCACAAGGGGUGAAGCUUGCGGUUUAAUUGGACUCAACGCCGGUAAGGGCAAUU
rnacentral:rRNA from 1 species